GUGUAUUGUGUGCGUGUUGUUAUGGUCCAUGCGGAGUAGGGGCGAGAAUGUUGUUCGGUGGUAGUGUGUAAAUGGUAGUGUAGUGCAAGUUAUUUUGCGGUGGUAACAUAAUCACAGUUCCACAUUUAAUAUGGCUUCUGAUGACGUUGAUUAUAUGUCAGAUGACAUAUUGGUUCAAUGUGAACAACAGGACAUAAGACCGGGCUUAAUACUUAACCACAGUCAGAAAAGAUCACAUACAAAAUAUAAACAAAAAUUGGUGAAAGAUGCAGAAAAUAAGAAAAUAUUUCCAAGAAAAAGUGUGCUUGAGGAAGAAAGGAGGGACGAAGGACUAAAAGAAGCAAUUUCCAGUGACAAUAAGGGGUUUGCCCUUCUGCAGAAAAUGGGCUACAAACCAGGAUCAGCUAUUGGAAAAUCAGGUUCAGGAAUUGUGGAGCCUGUACCAAUAGCUGUGAAGACAAAUAGAGGAGGUCUUGGGAGGGAAGCAGCAUUGAAAGAAAUUAAAGAACAAAAACUGGCAAUUAAGGCAAGAUUAUUAAAACACAGGAAUCAAUUAAAUGAUAUAGAAAGUUACAGAAGUCAGAUGACAAGAAAAAUGGAAGAACGUCAGAAUGAAGCUGAUCUAAGGAAAAGUCAGAGAAUUUGUGAGCAGCUUGACAAAAGAAAGGACAUUGACAUUCCAGCAGAACCGUGGUUUUGGCCUGAUGGUUGGUCACAAGAGGAAGAAAAUGAGUCAGAUGAAGAGGAGGAGGAGGAAGAAGAAUGUGAUGGGGAUGAGGAGGAGGAGGAGGAGAGCAGUGAGGAAAUAACAUUUCAGACUCCAGAAAAACUGGAAAUAAUCACGUUGUAUCUAAGAAGAACAUAUCACUAUUGCAUCUGGUGUGGAACAGAAUUUGACGAUGAAAAAGAUAUGCAGCAGAAUUGCCCUGGAAGCACAAGGGCAGAUCAUUAGUAAUCUUAUAGUUAUGAAUAAAUAAAUAAAUAAAAAGAAGCACUGGUCAACAUCAGUCGACAUAAGGACUUGGACGACGCUAAGUGGAGCAUGCCCGUCAAGGAUGCAGUGAUGGCGUAACCAGUGUCAUCACUCAGAAAAGCCGAAGCACAAACAAGCAGGGAGCUCAUUGCCUCAGACUGUGGAAGGGAGAGUGUCAGCAACACCUGAUUCAGCACUUUGAGAAAGUUCAGAGCAGGCACAAUGCUAUCCUCUGAACAGGGCUACGUGUAGUAACUACACUUAGGCAUGUCACAAGAAUGCAUUUCAGGCUGCAAACUUUGCAUAAAAAAAUGUUCUGACACUCUGAAACAACACAUUAGGCCAGCCAGGAAUGCUGACUGACUCAGAAAAUAGGAGCACAGUCAGCCACCAGUAAGGUGGCAUCAAGUCAUCGACUGCUAUAAAACCUUCUUCUUCCUUCCAUUCAAUCUGAGUCUUGCCACUCCAUUUGGAUCGCCGAUACCAAUGUAUGGUCACCGCUACUAGUUACAGAAUGACUUGGUGAAGACAACAAAGUUUUGCUGCCCACCACCAGCUUGGAGUCAUUGCUACAAGUCUGCAGCUGUCUUGCUGUGGAGGGAACUUCAACUGUGCAAGCUGCAUUCCUGCCAGUUACACCUGUGACUACCUGAAGAUGAGGGCAAUGCUAGUCUUCCAUGAAUGAAGAACCAAUGUGCUCACGAGCUGUUCAACUUGAGAGCAGAGUGCCUGUGCUGCCACUCACGGGCAAUACAAGUAUUGGGACCAACUUUCGAGCUGUCCUGUGUCUCUGUUGGGUCUUCCACCUACCCACCAUCACGACAACCAGCAACAGGUGCAUGGUGAUUUCUGGGGGCAAGCCUGAGUGCAACUACACUCAACGAGAGUGCUGAGGCUCUGACAGAUGUCCACAGCCACACCAGGCCGCAGAGACAUGCUGGCUGUCGCACCCUUGUGUGACAGGGCUGUGGCACAAACCUUGGACUACGCCAGGGUGCUACCCUGUGCCUCCGUGUAGUGUGGGUACAGCACACCCACUGCUAAGCCAAAUCGAGAAGAAGACAGAUUGAUUGUAUAACCUUUGGAAAUCGAUGACCAUUUAUUGAAUGAUGUCUUAUUAGUGCCCUGUCAAACUGCUGGACAACACCUCCACUCUACAAUCCUACACCCACGUAAGGAGGCUGCAUUUGGUGGACACCUACAUUAUUAGUGCCUCCAUCUCACUGCUGUCCAGAAAGGGAGCAGCCUCCUAUCCCACACUUGGAAUUUUUCCCCUCAAUCUCUAUGGUUAGUCUGUCUCCAAGCAUGCCUGCACUCUGUUCUCGGCUCGUCCACCUCAGCUAGCUGGCCCCACUUUCGCUGGCCAGCUGUGCAAUCAAGUACACUUGUCACUGUCUUGUUGAAAGUUCCUAAUCUUUCUUUUAAUCACCUAAAAUUUUUUGUCAUUGUCAUUGUUUCUUACCAUUAGCAAUGUAGGAAAAGAUAGAUUGCUACUUACUGUAAAGAAGACACAUUAAGUUGCAGACAGGCUCAAUUAAGACACUUGCACAAAGCUUUAGGCCACAACCUUCAUCAGCAAGAGAGGAAACACACACACACACACACACACACACACACACACACACACACACACACACACACACA